rnacentral:rRNA from 1 species
CUACGGGCGGCAGCAGUGAGGAAUAUUGCACAAUGGGGGGAACCCUGAUGCAGCAACGCCGCGUGGAGGAUGACGCAUUUCGGUGUGUAAACUCCUUUUAUAUGUCAAGAAAAUGACGGUAGCAUAUGAAUAAGCACCGGCUAACUCCGUGCCAGCAGCCGCGGUAAUACGGAGGGCGCAAGCGUUACUCGGAAUCACUGGGCGUAAAGGACGCGUAGGCGGGUUGAAAAGUCAGGUGUGAAAGCCUACAGCUUAACUGUAGAACUGCACUUGAAACUCUCAACCUAGAGUAUGGGAGGGGCAGAUGGAAUUAGUGGUGUAGGGGUAAAAUCCGUAGAUAUCACUAGGAAUACCUAAAGCGAAGGCGAUCUGCUGGAACAUUACUGACGCUAAGGCGUGAAAGCGUGGGGAGCAAACAGGAUUAGAUACCCGGGUAGUC